rnacentral:rRNA from 1 species
ACGAACGCUGGCGGCGUGCUUAACCCCUGCCAGUCGAACGGAAAGGCCCUGCUUUUGUGGGGUGCUCGAGUGGCGAACGGGUGAGUAACACGUGGGUAACCUGCCCUUGACUUUGGGAUAACUUCAGGAAACUGGGGCUAAUACCGGAUAGGAGCUCCUGCUGCAUGGUGGGGGUUGGAAAGUUUCGGCGGUUGGGGAUGGACUCGCGGCUUAUCAGCUUGUUGGUGGGGUAGUGGCUUACCAAGGCUUUGACGGGUAGCCGGCCUGAGAGGGUGACCGGCCACAUUGGGACUGAGAUACGGCCCAGACUCCUACGGGAGGCAGCAGUGGGGAAUAUUGCACAAUGGGCGGAAGCCUGAUGCAGCAACGCCGCGUGCGGGAUGACGGCCUUCGGGUUGUAAACCGCUUUCGCCUGUGACGAAGCGUGAGUGACGGUAAUGGGUAAAGAAGCACCGGCUAACUACGUG